rnacentral:rRNA from 1 species
UACGUAGGGGGCGAGCGUUGCCCGAAUUUACUGGGCGUAAAGCGCACGUAGGCGGCUUCGUAAGUCUGGUGUGAAAUCUCACGGCUCAACCGAGAGGCUGCACCAGAUACUGCGAAGCUCGAGGACGGGAGAGGAGAUCGGAAGUCCCGGUGUAGCGGUGAAAUGCAUUGAUAUCGGGAGGAACACCAGUGGCGAAGGCGGAUCUCUGGACCGUUGCUGACGCUGAGGUGCGAAAGCUGGGGGAGCGAAAGGG